rnacentral:misc_RNA from 1 species
CCGAGUGAGGGCCCUCUGGGUCCAACCUCCCACCCGUGUUUAUUUUACCUUGUUGCUUCGGUGGGCCCGCCGAAAGGCCGCUGGGGGCUUCUGCCCCGGGCCCGUGCCCACCGGAGACAAACCGAACUCUGUCUGAAUGUUGCAGUCUGAGUAUAUAACUAAAUUAGUUA